rnacentral:rRNA from 1 species
UACGAAGGGGGCUAGCGUUGCUCGGAAUUACUGGGCGUAAAGGGCUCGUAGGCGGCCAACUAAGUCAGACGUGAAAUCCCUCAGCUUAACUGGGGAACUGCGUCUGAUACUGGAUGGCUUGGAUCCGGGAGAGGGAUGCGGAAUUCCAGGUGUAGCGGUGAAAUGCGUAGAUAUCUGGAGGAACACCGGUGGCGAAGGCGGCAUCCUGGACCGGUAUUGACGCUGAGGAGCGAAAGCCAGGGGAGCAAACGGG